rnacentral:pre_miRNA from 1 species
UCAUUCCCUGCAACAUUAAAUUUUGCGAUCGUGAAAGGAGGAGAAGAGCUUCACUUCUAGCCAGCAUCGGUAACAUGAAGUGAAGUUCUUCUCCUUUUCACGAUCGCAAAAUUUAAUGUUGCAGGGA